GGCUCAGGACGAACGCUGGCGGCGUGCCUAAUACAUGCAAGUAGAACGCUGAAGAGAGGAGCUUGCUCUUCUUGGAUGAGUUGCGAACGGGUGAGUAACGCGUAGGUAACCUGCCUUGUAGCGGGGGAUAACUAUUGGAAACGAUAGCUAAUACCCAUAACAAUGGAUGACACAUGUCAUUUAUUUGAAAGGGGCAAUUGCUCCACUACAAGAUGGACCUGCGUUGUAUUAGCUAGUAGGUGAGGUAAUGGCUCACCUAGGCGACGAUACAUAGCCGACCUGAGAGGGUGAUCGGCCACACUGGGACUGAGACACGGCCCAGACUCCUACGGGAGGCAGCAGUAGGGAAUCUUCGGCAAUGGGGGCAACCCUGACCGAGCAACGCCGCGUGAGUGAAGAAGGUUUUCGGAUCGUAAAGCUCUGUUGUAAGUCAAGAACGGGUGUGAGAGUGGAAAGUUCACACUGUGACGGUAGCUUACCAGAAAGGGACGGCUAACUACGUGCCAGCAGCCGCGGUAAUACGUAGGUCCCGAGCGUUGUCCGGAUUUAUUGGGCGUAAAGCGAGCGCAGGCGGUUUGAUAAGUCUGAAGUUAAAGG
rnacentral:rRNA from 1 species